UGCUGGCACAGCUCAGGGAAACUGUGCUAGAAAUAACUGUGCUUAUGCAGAGCUGUCAAAAACAGGCUGUCGCCGGUGCCGCUGGGACGGGAGCGCAGCCAGGGCCGCGCUGCCCGGCGGGAGGAGCAGGCCGCGCCGCAGCCCUGCCUUUGUCUGCACACCACGGAGGAGGAGAUGUUCCAUGAAAGCCAGGGAGGAGAUCAGCAAGCAUCUUUGCAGGUCUGAGUGAUUGGGACAGAGCAGCUGUAUGAGAGUUCAGAUUAACAGAUGCUUUGCCAAUGAAAGUCCCUCUCUGAAGUUCAUUUAUAAUUGGAAUAAUUGGGGUUCCAAUCCUGUGCUGACAAGAGAUGUUUGGAAAACAGCCUUAGGAUCCAAGAGUGCAGAAAGCAGCUCACAGGCAGGACAAAGCUGCCACCCAAACCCUGGGGAUGGCCAUCCUUCAAUCCAACAUCUGACUUGUCUGCUUUUCUGCCGCAGAAAACUUUAUUUUGUAGUUAAAACAACCCUCAAGGGUUAAUUCUUUCUUGUUUUCAUGAUUCAUCUCCCAAAUGUGAGUGUAUUACCUUGUUUUCCCUGAACUGGAUACUCCCUUCUUUUUUCCCCAAGCAGAGCUUUGCUGUCAUUUCAGUCCCCACUGCCACGGCUCUCACAGCAUGUUUGUUCACCUAAAAGUAAAUGCUCUGUUAGAAGCAGAAAUCCUUUUUCAAGAAAACAAAAGAACAAAGAAAUAGAGUAUUACAGAAGUGAAGGUAAUUUAUAUUUACAAAAAGGGCCUCACAAAAAACUGUUCACCAGCCCAGUGGUCUUGCAGCCCAAAACAUUUUUUGUUGCUAUUGUUAUAUUGGUUGAAAACAACUUUAUGCUCUUAAAGCUUUAACAAGCACCUUCAAACAUCUCAGUGACUUGUCUGCCUACUUUGCUGUUACAGUUUUCUUCAAAACUACUGAUUUUUCUGGUAGAAAGAAGCAUUGCAAGGUACAAACCCAGCACAGUCAGAGGAGCA